rnacentral:rRNA from 1 species
GACGAACGCUGGCGGCGUGCUUAACACAUGCAAGUCGAACGGAAAGGCCCUGCUUUUGCGGGGUGCUCGAGUGGCGAACGGGGGAGUAUCACGUGAGUAACCUGCCCUUGACUUUGGGAUAACUUCUGGAAACUGGGGCUAAUACCGGAUAGGAGCCCCUGCAGCAUGGUGGGGGUUGGAAAGUUUCGGCGUUUGGGGAUGGACUCGCGGCUUAUCAGCUUGUUGGUGGGGUAGUGGCUUACCAAGGCUUUGAGGGGUAGCCGGCCUGAGAGGGGGACCGGCGACCUGGGAGCUGAGACACGCCCAAGGGGACUAAGGGAGGCACCAGUCGGCAACGGGAGGCAAGGGGGGGGAGUUUGACAGAGUAGGGGGGCGUGUGUGACGAAAGCGCUCGGUGCGGAAAGACGGGUUUUGGGUGGAAAACCGCUUUCUCCUGAGACAAGCCGGGAGUGACGGUAAUGGAUAAAGAAGCACCGGCUAACUACGUG